GAGCAAGCGCACAAAUAAGGGUGGAUGGCGGAUGCCUUGGCACCAUGUGGCGAUGAAGGACGCGGCGUAGCGGCGAAACGCCCCGGGGAGGUGCGUAGCAACCUUUGAUCCGGAGAUUUCCGAAUGGGGAAACCCCUUCGAGUGAACCUCGAAGACCUCACACUUGAUGUGAGGAGUCAACCUGGGGAAGUGAAACAUCUCAGUACCCAGAGGAAAAGAGAACAAUUGUAAUUCCCUCAGUAGCGGCGAGCGAACAGGGAUUGCCCUGAAAUUUAUUUCAGGAAUAGCCCAAACCUUGUCACGUGUUCGCAAGAAUGCGCGGCGAGGGGUUGUAAGAUAAGAAAACUUUACUAUGACGAUGACCGUGACCUUGGUCAUUGUUAUUGCCAUGGUAAAAAUUGGUUACAAAUUGUUUUGUUAGUAGAAAGGCCUGGAAUGGCCUGUCAAAGAGGGUGAUAGCCCCGUACACGAAAACGAAACAACCAAUUUUUUUAUUCUUGAGUACCUCGAGGCCAAUAAACCACGAGGGAAUCCGGGAGUACUAUCUCCUAAGGCUAAAUACAUAUGGUGACCGAUAGUGAACAAGUACCGUGAGGGAAAGGUGAAAAGCAGCCCGGAAGGGCGAUGAAAUAGUACCUGAAACCAUCCACUUACAAGGAACGGGAGGCCCGACCCCGCAAGGGGCGGCUGACCGUGUGCCUAUUGAAGAAUGAGCCAACGAGUUUAUAUACACUGCAAAGUCUAAGGGCCGUGAGGUCCGAUGGCGAAGCGAAAGCGAGUCUGAAUAGGGCGUUACUUUCUUAUCGUACCGCGUGCCACGUCAUGUGACGUGCGGUGCGAUGGGUUAGUUAGCAGUGUGUGUAAGACCCGAAACCAAAUGAGCUUGCCCUGGCCAGGGUGAACCCCGUAGAAAUACGGGGGGAGGCCCGCACCGGUGAAUCGUUCAAAAUUCUCGGAUGAGCUGGGGUAAGGAGUGAAAAGCUAAUCGAAUUUGGUAAUAGCUGGUUCUCUCCGAAAUAGUUUUAGGACUAGCCUUGCGUGGUCCGUUAUGGUGGUAGAGCACUGGAUGAACGGCAAAGGGCGAAAGCUCGGCCGCUCAAUCAAACUCCGAAUGCCAUAACGUUUAGCGCAGGAGUCAGACUGUGGGGGCUAAGCUCCAUGGUCGCGAGGGAAACAGCCCAGACCGCCGUUUAAGGUCCCCAAAUCUAUGCUAAGUGUAAAAGGUAGUCAGUGCCCACUAACAGAUAGGAGGUUGGCUUAGAGGUAGCCAUCCUUUAAAGAGUGUGUAACAACUCACUAUUCGAGGACACUGGCGCCGAAAAUUUAUCGGGGCUAAGCAUGGUACCGAAGACGCGGAUGCGUCUCGCAUUUUGCGAGGCGUGUGGUAGGAGAGCAUUCCUAGUGCAAUGAAGCCCGAUCCGUGAGGGCGGGUGGAGCGCUAGGAAGAGAGAAUGUUGGCACGAGUAAUCACAAAUCCUGUGAAAACCAGGAUCCCCGAAAAUCCAAGGUUUCCUCCGCAACGACGAUCGACGGAGGGUGAGGCGGCCCUAAGCGAAUGGCGAACGCCGCACGUGAAGGACAGCCGGUUAAUAUUCCGGCCCUCCCAUAUUUUUCGAUGGGGUGACGGAGUGGAGUAGAACGAGCGCCUUAAUGGUUUGGCGUUCAUCUCCCGAGGGCGGGUGUGAGGAAAAUCCCACAUCCUGUGUUCAAUCACGAGUCCCAGGGCAGUGAUGAGGAGCGGCAUUUACCGCUUCAAAUUGUUCGAACCCGCUUCCAAGAAAACCCCCUAAGGUUAGGAAUAUGGGAACCGUACCGUAAACCGCCACCGGUGGAUGAGGCGAGGAGCCUCAGGGGAACGGGUGAUUCUUCGUUAAGGAACUCGGCAAAAAAGCUAGGCGUAACUUCGGGAUAAGCCUUCCCUUUUGCCGCAAGGUGAAAGGGCGCAGCGAAAGUUUCUCUGGCGACUGUUUACCAAAAACACAGCUCCCUGCGAACUCGUAAGAGGAGGUAUAGGGGGUGACGCCUGACCAAUGCGAGAAGGUUAACGAUGGGGGUGCUCCGACCUCGGUCGGAGUGCUCACUGUCCGAAGCCCUCGUCAAUGUCCGCGGUAACUAUAACCGUGUUAAAGUAGCGCAAUUCCUUUCCGGGUAAGUUCCGGAGCGCAUGAAAGGCGUAACGACUGGAGAACUGUCUCAACGAAGAGCCCGAUGAAAGUGCGAUUCCCGUGAAGACGCGGGGUACUGGCAACUAGACGAAAAGACCCCGGAAGCUUUACUGUAGCUUGGUAUUGAGAUUAGUGAUUGCCUACGUAGCGUAGUGGGGAGCCUUUGAAGCGCCGCUUUCGGGUGGUGUGGAGGCGCCAAUGAAACACCCAUUUUGUAAUUGCUAAUGUCUCACCGGUGCGGAAAAACCGUAUCGGGACAGUGCCUGGUGGGCAGUUUUUCUGGGGCGGAACCCUCCUAAAAUGUAACGGAGGGGCCUAUUAAGGUCAGCUUGGCGCGGAUGGACAUCGCGCUGGACGUGCAAACGCAUAAGCUGGCUUGACUGCAAGGCCGACAAGCCGCGCAGGCGCGAAAGCGGAGGUUAGCGACCCGACACUCCUUCAUAGGAAGGGUGGAGAUAACGGAUAAAAGUUACUCCGGGGAUAACAGGCUGGUUUCGUCCGAGAGUCCUUAUCGACGACGAAGCUCGGCACCUCGAUGUCGGCUCACCACAUCCCGGGGCUGAAGAAGGUCCCAAGGGUAUGGCUGUUCGCCAUUUAAAGUGGUACGUGAGCUGGGUUCAAACCGUCGUGAGACAGGUUGGUCUCUAUCUGUUGUCAGCGUGUGACGCUUGAGGGAAGUCGUCCCUAGUACGAGAGGACCGGGAUGAACGAACCGCUGGUGUACCGGCUUUGCCACCAGGUGAAUCGCCGGGUAGCUAUGUUCGGACGGGAUAAGCGCUGAAAGCAUCUAAGCGCGAAGCCUCUCCCAAGAUAAGGCGUCGUGGGCCCGUCGCAGACUACGACGUUGAUAGGCGCUAGGUGUAAGCGCGGUAACGCGUUAAGCCGAGGCGUACUAAUAAGCCCGUGCGCUUGCUCUU
rnacentral:rRNA from 1 species